rnacentral:lncRNA from 1 species
UUACUCUGAUCGAUUGAAUGAUGCAAUGAAACGAAACCACUUUGGUUUACGAAUUGUUAAUUGCUCUCUCACUUACACAAUUAAGAAAUAUAAGUAUGUGAUUAAAGCAAAAUUGGGUUCACAAAGUCAUCGAAGUUGCAAACAAAGUAAUGCGGGUGUCAAGUAGACUAGUGGUCAGCCGGGCACGUUCUCUGGGGCCAAAUUUUAUGAAAAUAAAAUGUAUUAAAAAAUAUAAAUGAUUUGA